GGACAUCGCUCAGCAGUAGAGCAUUUGCUUUGCACGCAGAAGGUCCCAGCUUCAAUCCCUAGUAACUCCA